rnacentral:rRNA from 1 species
ACGGGUGAGUAACGCGUGGGAAUAUACCUCUUGGUUCGGAACAACACAGGGAAACUUGUGCUAAUACCGGAUAAGCCCUUACGGGGAAAGAUUUAUCGCCGAGAGAUUGGCCCGCGUCUGAUUAGCUAGUUGGUGGGGUAAAGGCCUACCAAGGCGACGAUCAGUAGCUGGUCUGAGAGGAUGAUCAGCCACAUUGGGACUGAGACACGGCCCAAACUCCUACGGGAGGCAGCAGUGGGGAAUAUUGGACAAUGGGCGCAAGCCUGAUCCAGCCAUGCCGCGUGAGUGAUGAAGGCCCUAGGGUUGUAAAGCUCUUUUGUACGGGAAGAUAAUGACGGUACCGUAAGAAUAAGCCCCGGCUAACUUCGUGCCAGCAGCCGCGGUAAUACGAAGGGGGCUAGCGUUGCUCGGAAUCACUGGGCGUAAAGGGUGCGUAGGCGGGUUUUUAAGUCAGAGGUGAAAUCCUGGAGCUCAACUCCAGAACUGCCUUUGAUACUGAAAGUCUUGAGUAUGGGAGAGGUGAGUGGAACUGCGAGUGUAGAGGUGAAAUUCGUAGA